rnacentral:rRNA from 1 species
AAGACCUUGUGCUUUUGGAGCGGCCGAUGCCUGAUUAGCUAGUUGGUAGGGUAAAGGCCUACCAAGGCUACGAUCAGUAGUUGGUCUGAGAGGACGACCAGCCACACUGGGACUGAGACACGGCCCAGACUCCUACGGGAGGCAGCAGUGGGGAAUUUUGGACAAUGGGCGAAAGCCUGAUCCAGCAAUGCCGCGUGAGUGAAGAAGGCCUUCGGGUUGUAAAGCUCUUUCAGUCGAGAAGAAAAAGUUGUGACUAAUAAUCACAAUUUAUGACGGUACCGACAGAAGAAGCACCGGCUAACUACGUGCCAGCAGCCGCGGUAAUACGUAGGGCGCAAGCGUUAAUCGGAAUUACUGGGCGUAAAGGGUGCGCAGGCGGCUCUGUAAGUCAGAUGUGAAAUCCCCGGGCUUAACCUGGGAAUU